rnacentral:rRNA from 1 species
GGUAGGUACUCGAGUGGCGAACGGGUGAGUAACACGUGGGUGAUCUGCCCUGCACUCUGGGAUAAGCCUGGGAAACUGGGUCUAAUACCGGAUAGGACCAUGCUUUAGUGUGUGUGGUGGAAAGUUUUUUCGGUGUAGGAUGAGCCCGCGGCCUAUCAGCUUGUUGGUGGGGUAAUGGCCUACCAAGGCGGCGACGGGUAGCCGGACUGAGAGGUUGGUCGGCCACAUUGGGACCGAGAUACGGCCCAG